GACGAACGCUGGCGGCGUGCCUAAUACAUGCAAGUCGAACGCACUCUCGUUUAGAUUGAAGGAGCUUGCUCCUGAUUGAUAAACAUUUGAGUGAGUGGCGGACGGGUGAGUAACACGUGGGUAACCUGCCCUAAAGUGGGGGAUAACAUUUGGAAACAGAUGCUAAUACCGCAUAAAACCUAACACCGCAUGGUGUAGGGUUGAAAGAUGGUUUCGGCUAUCACUUUAGGAUGGACCCGCGGUGCAUUAGUUAGUUGGUGAGGUAAAGGCUCACCAAGACCGUGAUGCAUAGCCGACCUGAGAGGGUAAUCGGCCACACUGGGACUGAGACACGGCCCAGACUCCUACGGGAGGCAGCAGUAGGGAAUCUUCCACAAUGGACGAAAGUACUGAUGGAGCAACGCCGCGUGAGUGAAGAAGGUUUUACGGAUCGUAAAACUACUGUUGUUGGAGAAGAAUAGUAUCUGAUAGUAACUGAUCAGGUAGUGACGGUAUCCAACCAGAAAGCCACGG
rnacentral:rRNA from 1 species